GAUGAACGCUAGCUACAGGCUUAACACAUGCAAGUCGAGGGGCAGCAUGAAAGGAACUUCGGUUCUUUUUGAUGGCGACCGGCGCACGGGUGCGUAACGCGUAUCGAACCUGCCUCAUACUCGGGGAUAGCCUUGCGAAAGUAAGAUUAAUACCCGGCGGUCUCGGAUGGCCGCAUGACUAUCCGAGUGAAGAUUUAUCGGUAUGAGAUGGUGAUGCGUCCCAUUAGCUAGUUGGUGAGGUAACGGCUCACCAAGGCAUCGAUGGGUAGGGGUUCUGAGAGGAAGGUCCCCCACAUUGGAACUGAGACACGGUCCAAACUCCUACGGGAGGCAGCAGUGAGGAAUAUUGGUCAAUGGACGCAAGUCUGAACCAGCCAAGUAGCGUGCAGGAAGACGGCCCUCUGGGUUGUAAACUGCUUUUAGUUGGGAAUAAAAAGAGGGACGUGUCCCUUAUUGUAUGUACCAUCAGAAAAAGGACCGGCUAAUUCCGUGCCAGCAGCCGCGGUAAUACGGAAGGUCCAGGCGUUAUCCGGAUUUAUUGGGUUUAAAGGGAGCGCAGGCGGCGGCGUAAGUCAGUUGUGAAAUCGUGCGGCUUAACCGUGCAAUUGCAGUUGAUACUGCGUCGCUUGAGUGCACACAGGGAUGUUGGAAUUCAUGGUGUAGCGGUGAAAUGCUUAGAUAUCAUGAAGAACUCCGAUCGCGAAGGCAUAUGUCCGGAGUGCAACUGACGCUGAGGCUCGAAAGUGUGGGUAUCAAACAGG
rnacentral:rRNA from 1 species